rnacentral:lncRNA from 1 species
CAUGCUGACCACAUCUUCUUUAAUGAUGUCCCAGCAUGAUUGGUAGAAAGCUCCAGUGAAACCGUCUGGACCGCCUGCUGAAUCCCCAUUCAGCCCCAUUACUGCUUUCUUCACUUCCUCAUUCGAAGGUAAGACCAUCAAUCUCUCAUGUUGACCAGGAUCUAUCAUUGGAGGUACAUGUUUUAAAAUAUCAAAAUCAUUGGGAAAAGACCUCUCAGAAAAUAAAUCCUUGUAAAAUUUUACAGCUUCCUCUGCUAUUUUGUGAUCUUCUUCAAUCCAAUUACCAUAUUGGGAAAAGACCUCUCAGAAAAUAACUCCUUGUAACAUUUAACAGCUUCCUCUGCUAUUUUGUGAUCUUCUUCAAUCCAAUUACCAUCACUAUCCUGGAUUCUUGAUAACUUUAUCUUUUCCUUCUCCCGUUAACCUGGGCAUGAAAAAUUUUUGUGUUUCUAUUACCAUCUUUAAACCACAACAUGCCUGCUUUUUGUUUCCAGAAUAAUUCUUCUAAUGCAAGAUAUUUAAGCAAUUCAGCUUGAACCUGUUGUAAUCUUUGUCUAUUUGUCUGAGUAGGAUUAAUUUCAAAAUGAUUUUCAUGAAUUAGUACCACCUCCUCUAGACUUUCAAUCUUCUUGAAAAUAUCCCCAUAUGUAGCCCUACUCCAGGUAGACAGUGCAUGUUUAAGCUUUUUUAACUUGAAGUUAAAAUUGCUGAAAGGAUUUGCACUAAAAUCAGUAUUCCAGGUCUCUUUCACUACAUCUUUAAAAGAUUCAUGCUUUAUUCAUAAAUUAAGAAAUCUGAACGACUUCUUAAUUGGGGGAGUAUUUAUAUUACAUUUGAGAAGCAUGAGGCAAUGGUCAGAGCCUAUUUUGGACAAAUGAGUUACCUCCAAUCCAGGAAAGGCAUGUUGCAGUUCAUCAUUUCCUAGACAUCUAUCUAGUCUUUUGAAUAUACAGUCCUCUUCUGAUCUUCCGUUCCUUCUUUUAAAGAUUCAUGCUUUGUCCAAAAAUUAAGAAAUCUGAAAGACUUCUUAACUGGGGAAUUAUUUAUAUUACACUUGAGCAGCAUUGGGCAAUGGUCAGAGCCUAUUUUGGAUAAAUGAGUUACCUCCAAUCCAGGAAAGAUCUGUUGCAGUUCAUCAUUUCCUAGACAUCUAUCUAGUCUUUUGAAUAUACAGUCCUCUUCUGAUCUUCCAUUCCACCAUGUGAAAAUACUUCCUUUGAACCCCAAAUCGUUUAAAGAACAUGAGUUUAUGCAAUGUCUAAAGUCAUCUACUUCAAGGAACGAGACUGGAAAGCCACCAAACUUCUCUUCCUCAUCCCAAAUCACAUUAAAGUCUCCUCCGACCAGCCAUGGUACAGUAAUGUGUGAUGCCAUUGAAUAUAGAGAAUCCCAUAACUCAAUUCUUUCAAUGCGAUCGCAUUUAGCAUAUACUAACGUGAGGAUGAGCUCUGCAUGUGUUUCAGUGUGCACCAAUUUUAAAGUCAACUGUUGAGUCAAAUUAUACAAAAUAUGAACUUCAAAAUUUUCAUCAAUAAAAGCCCAAAUCUUGUUUGACACAUUUCCUAUAGCUUGAGCCAAACCAAUUCUUGCUCUAUAUCUCUCCAUUUUGUUAGACUGCUGCAUAGGUUCAAUAAUUCCAAUGAAUUGAAAUUGAUGUUUCCGAUGCAUUGUAACCAGCCUUUGAAAUGCUUGCUUUGUAUUUACUGAUCUCACAUUCCAGAUAAUGGCAUCCAUUAGAUGUUUUUGGGUUUGGACAAAUUGCUCCUUGUUUUUACUCCCUUGGAUUGUGCAUUUGAAUUCUCUUUUGACUGUUUCUUUUUUUCUUUUGCUGGAAAUUUCGCAGGUUCAAUAUGCCUUGGAGACAUACCCCCAUGCUUAGCAACAUUAAGAGAAAUUUGAGCAGUGGAUUCUUCCUCCAAAUCAACAUCUCUUAUUUCCACGUGUG